rnacentral:rRNA from 1 species
GACGAACGCUGGCGGCGUGCUUAACACAUGCAAGUCGAGCGGAGCGGCGAACGGGUGAGUAACGCGUGAGUAACUGCCCCCCUCUCUGGGAUAACAGUUGGAAACGGCUGCUAAUACCGGAUAGUGGGGGAUGACUCGCGUCCUAUCGGCUUGUUGGUGGGGUAGUGGCCGACCAAGGCGAGGACGGGUAGCCGGACUGGGAGGGCAACCGGCCACAUGGGGCUGAGGUAGGGACCAAACGCCAACGGGGGGCAGCGGGGGGAAAUAUUGCACAAUGAGGGAACGGGGGAUGCAGAAGCGCCGCGUGCGGGAUGACGGCCUUCGAGUUGUAAACCGCUUUAAGCCAUGACGCGGUAGUGGCAGAAGAAGCACCGGCUAACUACGUGCCAGCAGCCGCGGUAAUAC